UCUCAUGGAUGAGCAAAGUGGUUUUUUGAGAUGGAAUCUACUCUUGGUGAAGAUGCUGUGAG
rnacentral:pre_miRNA from 1 species